GAUGAACGCUGGCGGCGUGCCUAACACAUGCAAGUCGAGCGAUUCUCUUCGGAGAAGAGCGGCGGACGGGUGAGUAACGCGUGGGUAACCUGCCCUGUACACACGGAUAACAUACCGAAAGGUAUGCUAAUACGGGAUAACAUAAGAAAUUCGCAUGUUUUUCUUAUCAAAGCUCCGGCUGUACAGGAUGGACCCGCGGCUGAUUAGCUAGUUGGUGAGGUAACGGCUCACCAAGGCAACGAUCAGUAGCCGACCUGAGAGGGUGGUCGGCCACAUUGGAACUGAGACACGGUCCAAACUCCUACGGGAGGCAGCAGUGGGGAAUAUUGCACAAUGGGCGAAAGCCUGAUGCAGCAACGCCGCGUGAGCGAUGAAGGCCUUCGGGUCGUAAAGCUCUGUCCUCAAGGAAGAUAAUGACGGUACUUGAGGAGGAAGCCCCGGCUAACUUCGUGCCAGCAGCCGCGGUAACAC
rnacentral:rRNA from 1 species